rnacentral:lncRNA from 1 species
AAAGUUUCCCUAAAGUCCAAUCUCAAAGAGUGUAGUAUCGAGUAUCAACCAACCCCAGUCGGAACCGAAGUCAGUUAUCUCACUACUUUCUAAUGGCUAGGAUGAGUCAAUUAGGGUUCUAAAGGUCUGGUUAAUGCUUUGAUGACACCAUGCAGACGCCAAAUUUUUCCUCAAGUAAACAUGAGGAACAUCAGGACAUCCAAAGUAUCACAUUAACCGUAGCCAUCAUUUUAACCAUUC